rnacentral:rRNA from 1 species
UACAGAGGGUGCGAGCGUUAAUCGGAAUUACUGGGCGUAAAGCGUGCGUAGACGGUUAUGUAAGUCAGAUGUGAAAGCCCCGGGCUCAACCUGGGAAUUGCAUUUGAGACUGCAUAGCUAGGGUGCGGAAGAGGGAAGCGGAAUUUCCGGUGUAGCGGUGAAAUGCGUAGAUAUCAGGAGGAACACCGGUGGCGAAGGCGGGUCUCUGGGCAACUACUGACGCUGAGACGCGAAAGCGUGGGGAGCAAACAGG